AUUAAUCUUGCAAAGUCUAGGUAACUUGGUAAUCGGUAUUUUAAAAAUGUAUUAUGGGCCCUGUAAUGAGAUUUGGCACUUGGAUUUUUAUUAAUAAAAGGGACAUCUACAGGGUUGUUUUGUAGUGAACCGUUUUAGAUCUUUUGUUAGCAAACACUAAAUUUAAAUGUACUGCUUGUUUAGAAUUAUUAGCAAAUGGAAGCCUCCUAUUUAUAUUUUCAGUGCAUAAAGCCACCUUCUUGCUUUACUUCAGAAUAACAUGCCAAGCUAUUUUGUGUUCACUAAAUUUAGCUAUCAGUUAAACACUGCAGAAAAUAUUAGCUACUCAAAUAAGUAGGCUUCCGGAAUAGUUUUAACUGCAAGUGUGUUAACUUGUGUGGUGGUUUUAAAUAAUUUUUUCCAAAAUAGAUGAAAUUUUUAAACACCACUUUAUGUACUGAAGCAUGAAUAGAAAAAUGAAGAGCAGAGUAGUUCACCUCCUUUAUGUAGGCAUAAACUUCCAUCAUUUUACCUUGUUUUAAGCAGAAACUAAAUAACAUGCAUAGCAUGGUAAUUUUAUAGAUUGCUUAAUUGGAGUAAACAUCACAAUAAGAGAAAUAAGGGCUCGUCAGUGCCUUUUUUUCUUUUUUUUGUAUUGAAGUAGUAGCCUACAGAUGUAGUUUAAACAUCUAAAAUGUAGGCUUCUUUAUCUCAAAAUCCCAAUGUGUUGCAGUACACAGAUAGUUUAAAACAUAUAGCCAUGGGG
rnacentral:lncRNA from 1 species